rnacentral:ncRNA from 1 species
CACCGAUAAAGGCAAACUAUUCGAAAGGAUGGGACGCAAAGCCAUAGGAUCUAAAGUAGAUAUCUCUACUAAGAUAGCCGAGCCACCGAA